UACGAAGGGGGCUAGCGUUGCUCGGAAUUACUGGGCGUAAAGGGCGCGUAGGCGGACAGUUAAGUCAGAGGUGAAAGCCCAGGGCUCAACCCUGGAAUUGCCUUUGAUACUGGCUGUCUUGAGUAUGGGAGAGGUGAGUGGAACUCCGAGUGUAGAGGUGAAAUGCGUAGAUAUCAAGUGGAACACCAGUGGCGAAGGCGAGUCUCUGGACAUUUCCUGACGCUGAGGCACGAAAGCCAGGGGAGCAAACGGG
rnacentral:rRNA from 1 species